rnacentral:rRNA from 1 species
GUGGGGAAUAUUGGACAAUGGGCGCAAGCCUGAUCCAGCCAUGCCGCGUGAGUGAUGAAGGCCUUAGGGUUGUAAAGCUCUUUUGUCCGGGAAGAUAAUGACUGUACCGGAAGAAUAAGCCCCGGCUAACUUCGUGCCAGCAGCAGCGGUAAUACGAAGGGGGCUAGCGUUGUUCGGAAUCACUGGGCGUAAAGCGCACGUAGGCGGACCAUUAAGUCAGGGGUGAAAGCCUGGAGCUCAACUCCAGAACUGCCUUUGAUACUGAUGGUCUCGAGUAUGGAAGAGGUUGGUGGAACUGCGAGUGUAGAGGUGAAAUUCGUAGAUAUUCGCAAGAACACCGGUGGCGAAGGCGGCCAACUGGUCCAUUACUGACGCUGAGGUGCGAAAGCGUGGGGAGCAAACAGGAUUAGAAACCCGGGUAGUCC